GGAUUAGAUACCCUGGUAGUCCACGCCGUAAACGAUGUCAACUAGCCGUUGGGUUCAUUCAGGAAUUUAGUGGCGCAGCUAACGCGAUAAGUUGACCGCCUGGGGAGUACGCCGGCAACGGUAAAACUCAAAGGAAUUGACGGGGGCCCGCACAAGCGGUGGAGCAUGUGGUUUAAUUCGAUGCAACGCGAAGAACCUUACCAGGCCUUGACAUCCUCGGAACUUUUCAGAGAUGAAUUGGUGCCUUCGGGAACCGAGUGACAGGUGCUGCAUGGCUGUCGUCAGCUCGUGCCG
rnacentral:rRNA from 1 species